AAGCACAAAAUGGAAAGGUCUAAUGCAGAAGAAUUCUCAGCACUCUCUUGCACAUUUCUCUCUGGAUACUUCAAAAUACAGCAUUGGAAGUAGGAAAAUAAUAGUUGCAUCUGUACACGUAUUAAUGGACCAGAUCAGCUUCAAAACAACACAGAAGGAAGUGCUCAGCUACAGGGAUCUUGACUAGGAAAAUCCUAAUUCAUUGUUUCCCUGCUGAAGAAGCAGAGGACAGUGAAGGAUCACUCUGGGUGUUGCCUGCCAUUUACACCAGACACAGAAACCAUUUAACCACACUGACAAAGUACAAGAGCCUGUAGGAAGGAGGAUCAGCCCUAAUGUGGCCUGAAGCCAAUACACACAUAUCCCAUUACACUGCCAGAGCCUGACAACAGCCUGUACUCCAAACCCAGAAGACUCCCACACUGAAAUGGCUUCAAGACACUUGAUCAAAAGAUAGGAAGAAACACUACACCAACAUUUGAAGAAAGGCAAGAUGAAAAUGAUGAUUUCAGAAGAUUACUCUACAAGACAGCUAAGAAGUCAACUGCUUUUUAACUUACUUCAACAUGCCAGAACCACAGUCUUAAGUAUCUCGGACAAAAAGGUCAAAACAGAGAAGGACAAUCAAGAAGACAUAUACAAUUGGAUCUCUUUAUUAUUUGUCUAAAACAAAUUUCUGAAGAGAAUAUCUUGAUAUUUGUCUUGAGGAAGAUGCUGUUAUAGCCCCGAACAUAAUGUCCUAGUUCUUCUAAUAAAAACUUUCCCCAGGGAGGUAAAGACUCCACUAACUCAUGAGCCACAAUAUUCUGCACAAGUACAAGAACACAAGAAUAUAAGUGCAGCACAUUCUGAAGGUGUUCAGAAGCUCAGAUUUAAUAUCAGUUAAUAAAUCUUUUGGUAUUACCCAGUACUUGUACUGUCCUGGCAGGUUUUCAAACACUAGCUCUACAAACCCAGGUUAAAAUAAAUUCAGUUUCUGAAGACAUAAUAUGCAACAGACACUUGUCCCUAGGCUGAGGACAGGACAGGUACUGUACUCUGGAGACCCAUUUAGCACUCUCACAACACAACACACAGAAAUUAAGCACACAGAGAAAAGCACAGAUUUGCAAUGCACAUCACUAUUGAUAUUGAAAAGUUCAUCUCCAAUCGAGCUGCAUUACAAGGAUUUUUUUUUAGCCUUCCCUCUCCCAACAACUGCCUAAAUACACAUAAAAUAGUACACGCAGAGAAAGAGGGACAUCAUACCUUUCAACAUCUCCCUGCUUUAGUGAGGAAGAAACAAGCUGACAACAAUUCAGUGCAACAACCUACUCCAGCUUUCCUCUCCAACCUCUUCCCACUUGUUGCCAGGGCAACCAGUGUUUGCAGAUGCCUAUAGCGGGCGCUGGGUUCAUGACUUCAUCACAGUUAAUAUCCUCUCCCUGUCUCUCUUUAUACACAGAAUAUACUACAUACAUACAUCCACGCACUAUAAACACACAGGUUAUACAAUCCUGCAACCGUUUUUAUGCUGAGACCGUUCACUUUGCUGUUCUGAGGUAUCUAAAAGGAGAAAUAGCACUGGCAAAACUAAUCACUUGGAAAUUUGCAGAUGUGGAGAAAGUUUAAAAGCAGUAGUGCUGUAACCAGUAAACAGCUGCUCUGGUCUCUCUGCACUGAACACUUAAUCAUUUGAUUUCAUCAUGCUGUCAGGUAUGAGAGACACUAACAUUAGUGUUAUAAAACAUUUUAUGUAGAAUUUCAGAAAAAAUCCUUUAGUCAUGCACUUAAACCUCUUACAUGACAACUGGAAGACAAGCCUAGAAAAUGUGACUAGCACCUGGAAAAAAAUGUCUUCCAGUUUCUGACAGAAGCAGUUUGAAGUAUUACAGCAUGGAUAUGUUAAGUAACACACAGUGCAUGCACAAAGCCCCAUUUCAUUAUAUGAAAGAGGAAGGAGCUGAGCUUUGAACUCCAGGACUGAAUACUAACAUGGUUUCAAAAAAAAAAAUACAAAGAGAAAUGAACAGACAACAACCUGAAGUGCUUAAGUAAAGCACUUGCACUACUUGCCUUCACCCCUCUGCAAAACACCUUCCCCAGCAGCUCUGUGUCAAGAAAAGAAGUCUGAAAAUACAUCAGUAUGAUUUAGCAGAUCAGUACUACCUUGCCAUCCAACCACUUCAAAAGAGAAAGGAUUGAAUUCUGUGUCCCUACAGACUCUAGAAAAUGCUUAUCUUUCUAGUCCCAGUAACAACUGGUUUACUCUGUAUUUUACUUGCCACCCACAGCAAUUGCUCUCAGAACUCAUUUACCAUACAAUGUGGAGACUUUUUUUCACGAUGAUAGAAACAGGUCUGAUCCUUUGCUCCCUGACAUACUGGAGUAAGUAUCUCAGACAUUUCCAAAGAAUACUACUAAUGUGAAAACAAUUCAUUUUCUGUAUUCCAUCUGCCUUGCCCUCCAGCUGGGAAUUAAUACAGCUUUUUUCCCCACACAGCAGUUGCAAAGGCCAUGGAAAGCUUGAAUUUGAAGGAGCUCAGAGUUUCCUCAUAAACUGUGCUACUAAGUCCAUGGAAAGACUGCACUGGAACACAGGUUGGUUCAGUAAACACAGUGAAGGAUGCUGACCAACAGAAACAAUGGGAAUAUCAGCCAUGAAGCACCACACCACAGCAAGCAGUGAGACUACCUAGCUCAUGAUGUGGUAGGUAUAUUUGAUAGCCUUUCCUUACACAUUUUCUUUCUCUAAAUUCAUUCCAAAUAUCCUGUCAUGAAAUUUAUUUCUAAAAAACCACCACCGAGUUAUAGCUGUAGAAAUAAGUAUUUGACUUGAAAUGCCAAAUUCAGGAAAUUACAUUCAAAGCCAACACAAAGUCGUAUGUUAAAAAUUAAGCAUCAGAGUACUUUUGGCAGUGAAAAGCUGCAGAACACAAGUUCUAUUGCCCUCUGAAAGGAGAGACAUUCAAGCAGUCUGGUGAACAGAAGUUCUCACUGCAAUAGCAUGGCAUGCUGCUAUAUUUAUCACUAGGGUCCUGAGCAGGGAGAGGGUACUGCACAAUUAUAUGAGACAUACCCCAAAAUGCCUCCUAAUACUGAGCUCAGCUGUCACAGAACAACAUUAAUGAGAUUAAAACAGAAUGCUGCUGUGAAAGUGCUUCCUGAAAAUAGUCCCUGGCCCAUACUAACUCCCAAGCUACCAGGUCCCUCUAACAGUCACACUGGGGCCAGUCUAACAGCACAGACAGUGGAAUUCCUGUGUCCAAAAACAUUUCCUGCCACCACCAAGUGUCCUAGAGGUGCAGAAAGCUGGUAUGCAUGCUGGUAAAGAAAGGCCCUGAAGUUCAAUAAUAAAUUUCCCUCUCUUGUUCUUUUAAGCAAAACAAAAGUUCAAUCUAAAAGAACAAACAAUGGGCCUAGAUCCAAAAGGCAACACUUUGAUAGUCAACUACAUGAACUUUCAAAUGGCACCAUAAAAACACAGCUAAUUGAUAUCUGUGUUUAGUAUCUGACUCAGCAAGCACACAUCACUUGGAGAGCACCACAGAGCAGCACCUGUGGAUAGAACAGUCACUCAUUUGCAGUCUACUGCUUCUGAAUUUUCUGUACUAGUUAUCACGAAAGCCGUAAGACCUUUCCUUCACCAUCAAUAUUUCACCGUCCUCUGCCCUGAGACCCAGCUAAGCACGAUGAAAUUAGCAAAAGCAGCUGGUAGAAAAAUCUCUUAAAUUAAUAUAAUGGCACCCUACAAUUUUCUAAGAACUUUGUAAGCAAUGCAAUACCUGUGCAGAAGGCUUACAACUACAGCUCUCUUCAGUCUUCCUUUGUGGAGGAACGAAUGUAAAUUUUAUGCUGCUGACAGCAAUCUAAAACUAGUGAAACUGAAACAUAUUGUAACCAUUUUAUGCUGUUCUUUUACAAAAGGUCUCCAAAAAAUGUGUCUCAUUAGUGCAAGGCAUUCACAGGCCAGUGACUCCCCAGGAUUUUCAGGGGAAUCCGAGGGUGCACAGGGCUAGAAAGCCUUUCAGACCACAAACAUGCUCUAACUGCACUAAACCCGUGGCUUCACAACAAAACAAGUCACAUUUGGCCAGCUGCCACCCCUGUCCUAUUUGUUCUUACUGACCCAACACAGGUACAUAAAAAUGACAACAGUUUUAAUGUCAAAGGAUUUUCUGCACAGCAUUGGACUGAAUAAAUAAAACUUAAGAAAUGUGAAGUGUAAAGAUCAGAAACAGACAUUAAGUGUACUGAAAAUCUCUUCUGGAAUGACUUUGUUUCAACAGAAGGCAAAUCAGCACACUUACAAAGGGAAGAGAAAGACAUGACUGACUGGUACUGCCUGAGCACUCAGCAAAAAGGAAUUAAGAAGUCAUUCACAAACAGGAAACCCCUGCUGGCAUUCAGCAGGUGAAGUUGUUUUCAGAGUGCACCCAUUGUGAAAAAUAAAAAGCCUCAAGAAAAGCAGGGAUCAGACAAGGGGAAGUGAAAAUACCAAUGCUGAGGAGGCCGAAGCAGCAAGAGAUCAGAGAGAUCAAAUGCAGAGCUCGCUGGAGGCAGCCUCGGUGAUUUCUGUUAAUGAUUCUGCAGUUGCUAACAGGUGGGCAGGUAUGGUGGGAUGGUACCAAUGGUGUGGGGCUACAAGUAUUUAAAGAAGAGUUUUUAAAGCUUUCGAAACUGAGGAAGACAGCUAUCAAAAAAACAGGACAAGUCAACACUGGAAAUGAAGGAGAAAACACUGAUUGCAACUAAGAGGGUUGAAUGUUACAGUCAUUUAAAAGGUACCUGAAAGUUUGAAUUGAAAUGCAUAGUCAAAAUAAGGCACGGCCAACAGGGCCAAAUACCUUCAGGCAUUUUGCGUAAGCAGGAAGUUCUCAGUACACAGAACUAGAGGCUCUUAAAAUCUGUGUUUGUCUUCAGAAAUUUAUGACAAGCAAACUGAGGAGACACUGAGAUCAGUAUGCAGUUAAGCUCAACCAAAGAUGGCAAUCUCCACUAUUUCAUUCUGACAGAAACAGGAAUUGUGGAUGCCCACUGAUGUCUGGGUAUCCAGAAGCUGUGAGGAAUCCAGGGGAACCCUUGUGCCAUGCACUGUUUUAAUACAAAGACAGAUGCUGUCAAUGCAAUGUUGACAUUCUCUGUACUAAUGCCUUAUGUAAACUGCCUCAGUCUUCUGAGAACUCACCACCAAGCCUAAGGCUGUGUAGCAGUUGUUAAAUAAACUAAGUCCCAGAGUUCUGGGAAAAAGAUGCUCCUUACACCUGAAAGUAUUCUUAUGACUCCAGCACCCAGUUAGCCUACAGGAUGUCAUAUUCCAAUAUUGUUACCGAAUUCUUAGGACUUCUCACUUCAAAACCCCUCUUUAAUUGGAACAUCUGUCUUUCAGAGAGUCUGCUGCUGCCCACGCACACUUAAUUUAAUUUCAUUGCCUGCCAUACAAUAGUCUACACACCUUUCCACACAACUGUCCUCACUUGCAUUUAUUUCUUGUGCUUCUGAAACUUUAAAAGUUCUACAGGUUGAACUAUAUUUACACCCCUACUUGCCCUGUUGUGCCUAGGUAACAAACAUGUGAAAUUACAGCAGGAUAUUCACAUGGCUUAUGGAGUGCCACUUCCCUGCACAACACAAAGAAUUGCCUACCCUAGCUCUGAAUUUCUUAGUUUGGGCAGCUAUAUCAUGACCUUGCUUUUAUAUUGAAAUGCUUAGACCUUAAAUGGGCAAAAAUUUAAUAGUGGGGGAGUGUUACUCUUCUACUCUGAUUUUAUAUUCCAACUUGCUAGAUAACUGGCUUUAAACAAAACACAGAACUAUAAAUAAUUCCAAGUACAAAAGCCUUCUCUUGGUAUCAGAAGUCAAAUAGGAAUGUUUUACUGUUCAUUCCUUAUCAGAAUAAGGACAGUGAAGAGGAAGAAAAUGUCAAGAUUUUUCAGCAAUUUAGGACAGUAUAAUACUGGAACACCGUGACAGGCUGGAGGGAGUUUACCUUAAUUGUCCUAUUUUAGUUUCUCCAGAGAAAAUUUUAGGCUGAGCCACAGAGGCAAAUAGUCCUAAGUACAUUUAUGCCUAAAUGUAGGAAACUACCACUAUAAUCACUCUGCUGCUGGACUCCAUCAUGGUGUAUUUUGUAGUUAUGUUAGUCAUGUACUCGAUAAAAUCUCAGUAAAAUAUUUACAUAAGAAAUGAGUGGCAUAGCAUCAACAUUGCUUGGAAAACCAUUCCUUCUUCUGGGUGAAAUCACAGAAAAUGAGAGCAGCUAAUACUCUCUUAUGUGGAAUACUUUCACAUGAACCAAUAGAUACAGGAGGAGGUGAUGAGACAAAAAAGAUGAAAACAGUUUGCUCCAAAAAUGGGAGGAGUUUUUACACAAACAGAACUAACGGGAGGCAGAUGAAAAAAGGGUUGUAACAGAAUUAUAAAUAAUUCUUUUUAGAGGAGGCACAUGUAAAGGUAGGAGAACUAAAAAGACAUAAGGACACAGCAGUAAUUGGUGUCUCUCUCAGCUAGAGAAAAGACCUGUCAGGUAGGUCUGAGAGCCAGAAAGCCAGAUAUAACACAGGCAUUCAGCUUUGCAGAGAGACCCUCUUGAUCUUCAGACAGUUUCAGGAGUGUAAUUCUGGCAGCUAACCCUUCCAUCUCCCUCAACCAAGAUGAUGUAUAGAAAGCACAAAAGAAGAAAGAACUCUACAACCCUAGCAAAGCUUAGGAAGUCAAAAGAUUCAAAUAAAUGUUCUAAUCACUGUGAUGUGGCCUGGGGAACUGCACGUCAGAAAUGCUCGAGAGUUUUGUUUGAAAGCCAAAAGAAUGCCUGAGUUCCUAUCUGCAUUGUCAUUCCUACACCACUCUCCUUAGUAAGUGUAUAACAACUUCAGAGGAUUAAUUUUUUCCUCCCCUUUUGUCUAGGCAAAAUCCGAAUUAGUCCCUGUUGAACAAGCUUGUCAGGAUAUCUAAUGGCACCAUGAAACUCCAUUCUUUAGCUUCACAAGGACAAUAACAAAUGUGGUUUACACAUUGACUAAGCCAUUCCUUCCUUAUCACUCCCCUUUCCUUUCUUCACCUCCCAAGACAAUCUCUCCUAGGAAUUGUGAAAAAGGAAAAUUAGACUUUUAUAAUACAACUGCUAAUACUAGAUGUUAAAUUUCAGUUUUGUCCUGUAC